GACGUACGCUGGCGGCGUGCUUAACACAUGCAAGUCGAACGAUGAACCCGGAGCUUGCUCCGGUGGAUUAGUGGCGAACGGGCGAGUAACACGUGGGCAACCUGCCCCAAACUCUGGGAUAACUCCUCGAAAGAGGUGCUAAUACCGGAUACGAACUAGACAGACAUCUGUACUAGUUGGAAAGUUUUUCGGUUUGGGAUGGGCCCGCGGCCUAUCAGCUUGUUGGUGAGGUAACGGCUCACCAAGGCUACGACGGGUAACCGGCCUGAGAGGGCGACCGGUCACACUGGGACUGAGACACGGCCCAGACUCCUACGGGAGGCAGCAGUGGGGAAUAUUGCGCAAUGGGCGAAAGCCUGACGCAGCGACGCCGCGUGAGGGAUGAAGGUCUUCGGAUCGUAAACCUCUUUCAGUAGGGACGAAGCGAAAGUGACGGUACCUAAAGAAGAAGCACCGGCUAACUACGUGCCAGCCGCCGCAGUAA
rnacentral:rRNA from 1 species